UCCUCUACCCUUAUCUCCCCAAGCUACAAAGUCUCACAGUCUGCAAACACCUUUUGCUUGCGUAAUCUGCUCUCCUUGAACCAGCAUGGGAGAGCUGGCACGUUCUGCUUGGGAGGCAAUGGACAAGGGAUUCACCUCCUGUGCAAAGGAUGAGUCAGAAACACCCAGCAAUACCCACUGCCUGCCAGGGGCUCUAGGUCUGAGAAGCAAGACCAGCAUCUCUGACUCCUUCCUCAGCAAUUUGUGCCAAUUCCAGGCAACUCCAGAUGUGUGUCUUUCCCACCAGUAUCUGCAAAGACUUGGCUCUGGAGACUGGGAUCUGCUUGCCAGCAUACUGCCUCUGGGUGCAUUCAGUCCCAAGGGUCAAGUUUCCACUGCCACACUCAUCCCUGGCUGUGCUGCCAGACAUGCUGCAGGAUGGACGGCAGACGUACGGGGUGUCAUCAGAAUUAUGGGGGUCUUGAAGAAGACUAAUGAAACAGAGUCAAGAAACAGAAACCUCAGAAUAACAUGACCUGCAACCCCAGCGAGCGUGGUUGUGAUGUUCCAGAGACAUAAGCAACACUGCCCCGUUCUCAGGAUUCUUUGAGCACAGUUAUGUGAUGCUGGUUCUGAUCAUUUGCAAUUGCAUAUUAGCACUACUUCCCUGAAUUUUGUCUUGGAAAGCUCAGUGACUUUAGGACGUCUGGCAUUAACAACUGCCCUUUCCAGUAUGAGAAUCUGAAUGAGGUGCUGCAUAGUUCUCAUUUCAUUAUGAACAGCUGGAUGAGAACAGAUGCAUAAUAAAGCAAAUCUUUCAAAAGCAGCCUAAGCACUGGAUGCACAAUGAAGACAACUGCAUUUCAGCCCAAAGGUGGCUGCAUUUGAGCCACAGAGAAGGAACCCGUUUACAAAGAAACCUCUCAAGCACUUUGGGAUGAAAACACUAUACAGAACCUGCUUAAUUCACUCAUGUGACAAACUCUCAUUUCAUAUUGUUUUCCUGGUUUUGCUAUGCCAGUCACACUGCAAUUCGAAAUGUCCUUGCUCUGUGCUGGAACAGCAGUUCAGUUCACCGCAUUCGAUAAAGCCAGCAGAAUAAAAAAACUUGUGAUGGAAAUAGUUCUUGUGUGUGCAGCCAGCCCGUGCUCAGAGGCUGCUCAUAUUCCAUUUCUCUCUGUCUCGUUAACAAAUGGCUACCAGUAAUCUCAUGCCAUUACUGUGGUUUUGAAUUCUGGGUGUACUUUACUCAUUAGUAGCAUGUCCUAGGCUCUGUGUUCUGUUGCAUGAUGGUUGCCUUGCAUUCAGGCUCCUGGCUGCCUUGGUUGUUUUGACCUUGUUCCGUUCCAAAGAAUUCUUCUGCAAUUCUUCCAUCCUCUGCUGUUAAAAGAGAGCUCUUCCCUUGCAGUUUUUAUAUUAAAUAACUAAAUUGUACACGGUAGUUUCAAGAGCUAACCUCCCUUACGGCUUUUUGCAGUUACAGAGUGG